rnacentral:rRNA from 1 species
CGAAUGAUGAAGAAGCUUGCUUCUUCUGAUUUAGCGGCGGACGGGUGAGUAACACGUGGGCAACCUGCCCUGUAGAUUGGGAUAACUCCGGGAAACCGGGGCUAAUACCGAAUAAUCCAUUUCCUCUCAUGGGGAAAUGUUAAAAGACGGUUUCGGCUGUCACUACAGGAUGGGCCCGCGGCGCAUUAGCUAGUUGGUGGGGUAACGGCUCACCAAGGCGACGAUGCGUAGCCGACCUGAGAGGGUGAUCGGCCACACUGGGACUGAGACACGGCCCAGACUCCUACGGGAGGCAGCAGUAGGGAAUCUUCCGCAAUGGACGAAAGUCUGACGGAGCAACGCCGCGUGAGUGAUGAAGGUUUUCGGA